GCAUCUCAAUCAAUCAAUCAAUCAAAAAAACAAACAAACAAACAAAAAAAACCAAAACACUUUUCUUUAAAGUGGGUCUGUUUUCUGAGAUUCAGGUUUUCAGGGUUUGGGAACGAGAGGCAGUGCUGAUGGGGGCUGAUGCCCUCAAGAGAGUUUUCUGCCUCCAGAUUUUCCAGUCUCCCUUCCGCGGCCUGUGCACACGUGCUCUGUGGGGACCAGAUGCCUUGGUUGUUGGCCUCAUCACCCCCUGGUUUGGGAGAGCAUGGAGGGUGACCCCCUGCCCCUUCCCCUCUGUGCUGUGGCUGCAACUGCAAAGCCUCUUUCCGUUUCAGCUCUGUGCAACGUAACAGGGGUCCCAAACCCCAGCCUCGGGGUCCGUGGCCUGUGAGGAGCCGCAUGGCAGGGUGAACAGCAGCUGGUGAGUAUUCUCGCCUGAGCUACAGCUCCUGUAAGAGCCACAGCCUUAGAUUCUCACAGGACUACAAACCCUACUGUGACCUGCACAUGUGAGGGAUCUAGGCUGGACACUUCUUAUGAGAAUCUAAUGCCUGAUGAUCUGAGGUGCAACGGUUUCAUCCUGAAAUUAUCCCCCCUCCCCACUGUUCUUGGAAAAAUUGUCAAAACUGAACCCUGGUGCCAAAAAAGUUGGGAACUGUUGCUUUAUAGAAUGUAACUUCACCCAUGAACAAUCUGGCCUGGGAUUCCACAGGAUUGAAGGCUUGUGGCUUUAAAAUGUCACUCUUUGCAUUUUGAUCUUCUUUUCUAUGUCAUGGGACAUCCUCAGUGAGGUCAACUGUUUUCCAUUCACAGGCUGCCAAUUUGAGCUGUGGAAAUGAGAUUGCUGGACUCUUCCUUUGUCUUAGGAUUCCCUUGACGGCAGAUGAUAGAAAGCCAGCCCAAGGAGCUUCGGCAAGAAGGAGCCUGUCUGCCCCAGAGCUGGUGUGUCUGGUGGAGAACACAGGGCCCAUGCCUGGUCCCACCACCUCCCUCUGUCCUUUGUCCCUUCUUGGCUCCAGGCUUCCUGCAGGUGCACCUCACCCAGGGAGUUUCGGCAGCUUGUCCCAUGAGGGCAGGGGCAGACACGGCUCAGGGAGAUAGGGGCCUAUGAGGAGGGUGGGAAAGGGUCUCCUGUCCCCAGCAGAAGGCAAAGCUGUGUCCCCAUCAGGAGCCUGUCUGUGUCCCAGGUCACACUCUGCUCUCUGGGUGGUGAGGCUGAAAGAUCCAGGCUUUCUUAGACGUGGCACUGUAGGAAACUCAAUUUCUAUAUCACAGGAGGAGGGCACAGCAACCGUGAAAUGUCAGAUAAGGAGGAGGAGUGUGCUGGCCUUUCCUUCUCUCAGGAGAGGCCCCUCUCCGGGAUGAGAUUGUCCCCUCCUGAGAUGCUAGGACUGGGACCCAGAGGACUGAGAUGCCACCUGAGGGGACAGGGCACCAUUACUGCCCCUCCCGUGUUGGCCACACUCAGAGGCAGGAAGUCAGAGGGGCUGAAGGAAAGUCCCCCAGGUCCCUGAGAACUGGUUUCCCUAGGGAAAGAGAUGCUGAUAAACGGGAAGGAAACAUUGCUUGCUCUGGUCUUGCUGUUUGCACCCCCCCAAAAAUAUGUGGGUUAAAACCUUAAUCCCAAAAUUAUAGUAUGAGGAGGUGGAGCCUUAGGGAGGUGACAAGGUCAUGGAGGUAGAACCUCCCGAGUGGGAUCAGUGUCCUCACACAGAGGCCCCAAGAGUGGCCUCGGCCCUGGACGCAGUGAGGACUCAGGGACCGCGCCAUUCCAGAACCAGAAGGCUCUCACUAGACAGUGUCUGCUGGCACCUGGAUCUUGGACUUCCAGCCCCCAGAACUGUGGGAAAGAAGCUCCAGUGUUUUAUAAGCUACAGGGACUAUGGUGUUUUGUUAAAGCAGCCUGAAUAGACUAAAAAGCCACUCAGCAAACACCAAUUGGAUUAAAUGCUAGGCCAUUGGAAUAUGAAGGAGAAGAAGACAGAAACACUCGCCUCCUGAUCCAGCGUCCCGGACGCACUGGGGCCCAGCAAGAGGCUGUACUUGCAUCUUUCUCAUAUCUGAUCUUCGCCUCCAUCCACCUGCUCCCUGGUUCUUGGCUGUGCCCCUGAUGCCCCAGUGUGAGAACGUGGAGUUUCUUAAGGCUCCUAGGCAAUUCUCAUAUCAUAUUUUCUCUAAUUGUCACAACAAACGUACAGGAAAGUUAUUACAUGCAUUUUGGAGCUGGGGAGCAGAGCCCCCGUGGGCGGAGCAGCUGGCCGAGGUCCUCAGCCCCUGUGGAGAGGUGCAGCCCGAGUGUGACUGUCCGGGUUCUCAGAUGGGGGCGUCCCCUUGAGGCCCCGCCUCUUGGCCAGGCUGCAGCCCAGGACCGUGCCAGGUGUGUGUUAUUUAUAUUUGGACACACGCUGUGCGAAACGACGGGCACCCUGUGGUUAUCCGUGUGGUGUAGACGCCGUGUGCAUCUGUGGUAAUGGCUAUAAAUAAGCCACAACUUGCCCAGUAGGCACCGCUCCUCUUCUGGGUCGGCAGUUCUUGCUAAAAUAGCCCUAAGAUACAAUCAAGUGAAGACCUGAGUCGUUCUUGAAAUGAAAAAACGAACAAACACACAAACACACGCGCACACACACGCACACAAACCCAUGGGCUUGCGCACCUGCUUCUGCCACAGCUGACCCCAAUUCUGGAGUCCAGGCCUGCGAAUGGCCCACAUGCUCACUGAAAUCCCCAUCAUAAUUAAAGAAUCCUUCGGGGGUAUCAGUUUAUGUGCCAGGGAACCUGUAGCUUGAAAGGGUUGGAGAUAUGUCUGAGGAUUCACACCUAAGGAUUAGAACUCGUGGAGGAGAGCUGCAGGAGGGAGCGUGGGAAGUCAGCGUCCUGCCCUCUCUUUCUGGGUCAGGGGCUGAAGUGUCACACCCGGUUUCCUGCGGAAAGUGCACUUUGGGACUCAGAAGGGACGCGUUCCAGUUUUGAAUUGUGAUUUCCACCGCCCUCCAUUUGAAUAAGAAGCUUUUCCUCCUGAGGUCAGGCUGGUGAUUUAUGAUGCGGCCAUCGAUGUGGGGAGAGGCAGGCCCGGGCGUCUAUAUAUAGCAGCUCCUCAGACCUUAAACUGGAGGGAGGCACAGGCACUUUGCAGGAGUCAGCUCUGCCUUCCUUGGCUGGAGUGUGGGUGGCUUGGUGAGCCGGUGGCCAGGGCUUCUCUCUCCUCCUUGCAAUUUUCCUUUCUGUCUGGGUAAGUGUCUUUCUCUUCUUUCCUUUUCUAAUUUGUGGCUUUAAGGGGAGGACUGGUAACUUCUGCACUCACAUUUUCUAAGUAGCUCUUCUUCAGGGUCAAGCAGAGAGAGCCAGUGCACUCCCUCGCAGGCACCCUUCACCGUGGAAAACAGAGCAAUUAGUUCUGGGCUCUGUAUUUCUUUGACGAAAUUUUAUGCUCAACUAACAGUUUAUUUCCCACAGCCGUGGUCUUUGCUAAGUGCCGUCUAGCACCCUGCAGCGUGUGCUUUGGAUUUUAACCCUGGUCUCAGCAUGGCCCCAGGGGCCCCCCAGUCAGGGGACUGAUGUCUGCAAUUUUCAUGAGAUUCUCCAAAAUGAAAGCCUCCCCAGAGGAGAGAGCUGGCUUAUAAAAGUAUGAAAUAAUAAAACUGGACAUUUUCUUAGGGGAAAAAA